GAGUUUGAUCGUGGCUCAAGAUGAACGCUGGCGGCGUGCUUAACACAUGCAAGUCGAACGAAGCGCCUUAUUUGAUUUUCUUCGGAACUGAAGAUUUGGUGACUGAGUGGCGGACGGGUGAGUAACGCGUGGGUAACCUGCCCUGUACAGGGGGAUAACAAUCAGAAAUGACUGCUAAUACCGCAUAAGACCACAGCACCGCAUGGUGCAGGGGUAAAAACUCCGGUGGUACAGGAUGGACCCGCGUCUGAUUAGCUGGUUGGUGAGGUAACGGCUCACCAAGGCGACGAUCAGUAGCCGGCUUGAGAGAGUGAACGGCCACAUUGGGACUGAGACACGGCCCAAACUCCUACGGGAGGCAGCAGUGGGGAAUAUUACACAAUGGGGGAAACCCUGAUGCAGCAACGCCGCGUGAGUGAAGAGUAUUUCGGUAUGUAAAGCUCUAUCAGCAGGGAAGAAAGUGACGGUACCUGACUAAGAAGCCCCGGCUAACUACGUGCCAGCAGCAGCCGCAAG
rnacentral:rRNA from 1 species